GACAGAGGUGCCGAGCGUUAGGCGGAAUCACUGGGCUUAAAGCGUGUGUAGGCGGAUUUGUAAGUACCUUGUGAAAUCCCCGGGCUCAACCUGGGAACUGCAUUUGUGACUGCCGGGCUAGAGUACGGUAGAGGGGGAUGGAAUUCCGCGUGUAGCAGUGAAAUGCGUAGAUAUGCGGAGGAACACCGAUGGCGAAGGCAAUCCCCUGGACCUGUACUGACGCUCAUGCACGAAAGCGUGGGGAGCAAACAGG
rnacentral:rRNA from 1 species